AUUGAACGCUGGCGGCAGGCCUAACACAUGCAAGUCGAGCGGAUGAAGGGAGCUUGCUCCUGGAUUCAGCGGCGGACGGGUGAGUAAUGCCUAGGAAUCUGCCUGGUAGUGGGGGAUAACGUCCGGAAACGGGCGCUAAUACCGCAUACGUCCUGAGGGAGAAAGUGGGGGAUCUUCGGACCUCACGCUAUCAGAUGAGCCUAGGUCGGAUUAGCUAGUUGGUAGGGUAAAGGCCUACCAAGGCGACGAUCCGUAACUGGUCUGAGAGGAUGAUCAGUCACACUGGAACUGAGACACGGUCCAGACUCCUACGGGAGGCAGCAGUAGGGAAUAUUGGACAAUGGGCGAAAGCCUGAUCCAGCCAUGCCGCGUGUGUGAAGAAGGUCUUCGGAUUGUAAAGCACUUUAAGUUGGGAGGAAGGGCAGUAAGUUAAUACCUUGCUGUUUUGACGUUACCAACAGAAUAAGCACCGGCUAACUUCGUG
rnacentral:rRNA from 1 species